CGAGUGGAGAAACACACAUUGGUUUGAUCCUAGUCAGGGUCCAGUCAGAGCUCGUGGAAAGAAGUCUCUCUUAUCUUUAGGAGGGGACUUUAGUUGAAAGAAAUUGAGAGCGAGAUCUAAAGGCAGUCGCUUGAGAACUGCAGGACGCACAAGCAGUGUGGGGAAUACGGUGUGCGAUCUCUAUUUUCACAGCGGGCUUCAUCUUGAGACCUUGGAUUGCUCGUUGGGCCUAUAAUUUUGGGAAAUUACUAAAUGGCGCCACUCACUUUUCUAGAACUCCAGGGGGGAAUUGGUAAAAAUCAAAACCCCGAGGAAAAGAAAAUGAAUUCACCGUACCAAACUAGAAAAAAACAAAUCUAAAUUUUUAUAUUUGUGAGUCGAGAAGUAAACAAACACGACGACUAGAUAACAAAUUCUAAAAUAAAUCAGUUAUUUUUAGAGUCUCUCCUCAAAAUAUAAGAAGAAAUUCGAACUCCAAUGGAUGGUUGCAAAUCAUCAACAACUUCGGUUUGAUCUAUUCAAGAGAUUCGAAUCUUAUGGACUAGCGUUAAACUGCAAUCAUCAUCUGGCAAGGAAGCUUCAGAGGCUUGACAAUUGGGCAUUUGAAAUACAAAAGGGUGAGGUUCAAAUGGUGUUGGUUAGCUUUGCUUAUCAAAUAACGACGAUGAAAAUCUUGCAAAAAGGAGCUUGCAUAGCCAGAUCAAGUCCAUGUAAAAUUGCCCGAGCCUUUGCCACUUCUAUGCCAAAAAGUCCCUGGGGCCUUGAGAAGUUUUGAAGCAGCCAAAAUUAUCACUCCAUCUGAGUUGUGAAUGUUCACUCAUAAGCCAGGUUCAUAUUUAUUCAGGUAUUUUUUUUUAUGGUAGAAGAAUCAUUAAAAUUUUUAAACUUACGGAAAAUAAUUUUUAAA